GACGGGUGAGUAACGCGUGGGUAACCUGCCUUAUACAGGGGGAUAACAGUCAGAAAUGGCUGCUAAUACCGCAUAAGCGCACAGAGCUGCAUGGCUCAGUGUGAAAAAACUCCGGUGGUAUAAGAUGGACCCGCGUUGGAUUAGCUAGUUGGUGGGGUAACGGCCCACCAAGGCGACGAUCCAUAGCCGGCCUGAGAGGGUGAACGGUCACAUUGGGACUGAGACACGGCCCAGACUCCUACGGGAGGCAGCAUG
rnacentral:rRNA from 1 species